rfam:Angiostrongylus costaricensis strain Costa Rica genome assembly, scaffold: ACOC_scaffold0001386
CCAACGGCCCUCUUUAGGGCCACAACCGAAAUAGCAGGAAGAUUUUU